rnacentral:rRNA from 1 species
ACGGCUCAGUAACACGUAGUCAACCUACCCUAUGGACGAGAAUAAUCUCGGGAAACUGAGCAUAAUUCUUGAUAGAUCAUAAUGCCUGGAAUGGUUUAUGGUUAAAAUGAUUCGUCGCCAUAGGAUGGGACUGCGGCCUAUCAGCUUGUUGGUGAGGUAAUGGCCCACCAAGGCGAUUACAGGUACGGGCUCUGAGAGGAGAAGCCCGGAGAUGGGUACUGAGACACGGACCCAGGCCCUAUGGGGCGCAGCAGGCGAGAARACUUUGCAAUGUGCGAAAGCACGACAAGGUUAAUCCGAGUGAUUUCUGCUAAAGAAAUCUUUUGYCAGUCGUAAAACCRCUGGYGAAUAAGGGGUGGGCAAGUUCUGGUGUCAGCCGCCGCGGUAAAACCAGCACCUCAAGUGGUCAGGAUGAUUAUUGGGCCUAAAGCAUCCGUAGCCGGCUUUGUAAGUUUUCGGUUAAAUCCAUGUGCUCAACGCAUGGGCUGCCGAAAAUACUGCAURGCUAGGGAGUGGGAGAGGUAGACGGUACUCAGUAGGAAGGGGUGAAAUCCUUUGAUCUAUUGAUGACCACCUGUGGCGAANGCGGUCUACCANAACACGUUCGACGGUGAGGGAUGAAAGCUGGGGGAGCAAACCGGUUUAGAUACCCGGGUAGUCCCAGCCGUAACGAUGCAGACUCGAUGAUGCAUUGGCAUAAUUAG